rnacentral:tRNA from 1 species
GCCGGUGUGGCUCAGUGUAGAGCGUUGGCCUACACACCAAAGGGUCUUGGGUUCAAUUCCCAGCCCAGGUC